AUGGUGGCACGGAUUU
rnacentral:miRNA from 1 species